rnacentral:rRNA from 1 species
GGACCCGCACAAGUAGUGGAGCAUGUGGUUUAAUUCGAAGAUACGCGCAGAACCUUACCAACACUUGACAUGUUCGUCGCGACUCUAAGAGAUUAGAGUUUUCGGUUCGGCCGGACGAAACACAGGUGCUGCAUGGCUGUCGUCAGCUCGUGUCGUGAGAUGUUGGGUUAAGUCCCGCAACGAGCGCAACCCUCACUUUUAGUUGCCAUCAUUAAGUUGGGCACUCUGAAAGAACUGCCAGUGAUAAGCUGGAGGAAGGUGGGGAUGACGUCAAGUCCUCAUGGCCCUUACGUGUUGGGCUACACACGUGCUACAAUGGGUAUCUACAACAGGAAAGCAAGACGGCGACGUU